UACGUAGGGCGCAAGCGUUUGUCCGGAAUUAUUGGGCGUAAAGAGCUCGUAGGCGGUCUGUUGCGUCCGCUGUGAAAACUCGGGGCUUAACCCCGAGCCUGCAGUGGAUACGGGCAGACUAGAGGUAGGUAGGGGAGAAUGGAAUUCCCGGUGUAGCGGUGAAAUGGCGCAGAUAUCGGGAGGAACACCAGUAGCGAAGGCGGCUCGCUGGGCCAUUCCUGACGCUGAGACGCGAAAAGCUAGGGGAGCGAACGAGG
rnacentral:rRNA from 1 species